ACUCCUACGGGAGGCAGCAGUAGGGAAUCUUCCGCAAUGGACGAAAGUCUGACGGAGCAACGCCGCGUGUAUGAAGAAGGUUUUCGGAUCGUAAAGUACUGUUGUUAGAGAAGAACAAGGAUAAGAGUAACUGCUUGUCCCUUGACGGUAUCUAACCAGAAAGCCACGGCUAACUACGUGCCAGCAGCCGCGGUAAUACGUAGGUGGCAAGCGUUGUCCGGAUUUAUUGGGCGUAAAGCGCGCGCAGGCGGUCUUUUAAGUCUGAUGUGAAAGCCCCGC
rnacentral:rRNA from 1 species